GAUGAACGCUAGCUACAGGCUUAACACAUGCAAGUCGAGGGGAAACGACAUCGAAAGCUUGCUUUUGAUGGGCGUCGACCGGCGCACGGGUGAGUAACGCGUAUCCAACCUGCCCAUCACUUGGGAAUAACCUUGCGAAAGUAAGACUAAUACCCAAUGAUAUCCCACGAAGACAUCUGAAUGGGAUUAAAGAUUUAUCGGUGAUGGAUGGGGAUGCGUCUGAUUAGCUUGUUGGCGGGGUAACGGCCCACCAAGGCAACGAUCAGUAGGGGUUCUGAGAGGAAGGUCCCCCACAUUGGAACUGAGACACGGUCCAAACUCCUACGGGAGGCAGCAGUGAGGAAUAUUGGUCAAUGGGCGAGAGCCUGAACCAGCCAAGUAGCGUGCAGGAUGACGGCCCUAUGGGUUGUAAACUGCUUUUAUAAGGGAAUAAAGUGGGUCUCGUGAGACUUUUUGCAUGUACCUUAUGAAUAAGGACCGGCUAAUUCCGUG
rnacentral:rRNA from 1 species